UUGUGAAGACUCGCUCCAGGAUCCCAGGCUGUGGGGUACACAGGCACGUGGGUGGGAGCUGAGAACAUGGGACUGACGUCAGCUGCUGGGACGAUAAGGUGGAGACCAAAUCAGGCUGUCACAGGUGAUUGGCCACUCUGGGGAUCUCCAACAAGGACAGAGAGCCACUCCACAGCUGCUGGGCCACCUGCACUGUCUGGGCCGCUGGCAGAAGAAGCCACUGCUGGCGGGCUGGCCGCCACCAGUCCUUCCAAGGACCACCCACCAGACCACAUAGGCACAGUCCCUGUGAUCAGGCGCGGGCUGCUCUCUGACACUUUGCCCAGGGUGUUCUGGAGACACCCACCAACCCAAUACUCUGUUCACGGGCACACGGGCACGUUCGCCCCUGCCCCAUGGAUACACACACACAGGCACUGGAUGGGAUCUGCUCCAUUUCCACAGGUCUGUGCUUUGGAGCCCUUGGGGGUCCAGCGCCGUGACAUAGGCGCACUUGCCAAAGGUGAAAGCAGGGGAGGGGGCGGCCGGCCAGGUCAUGGCCCAUUAUCUGCUCUGGCU